UACGUAGGGUGCGAGCGUUAAUCGGAAUUACUGGGCGUAAAGCGUGCGCAGGCGGUUUUGUAAGCCAGAUGUGAAAUCCCCGGGCUUAACCUGGGAAUGGCAUUUGGGACUGCAAGGCUGGAGUGUGGCAGAGGAGGCUGGAAUUCCUGGUGUAGCAGUGAAAUGCGUAGAUAUCAGGAGGAAUACCGAUGGCGAAGGCAGGUCUCUGGGCUGACACUGACGCUCAGGCACGAAAGCGUGGGGAGCAAACAGG
rnacentral:rRNA from 1 species